rnacentral:rRNA from 1 species
CAUGCAUGUGUCAGUACAGGCCGCUCUAAGGCUAAACCGCGAAUGGCUCAUUAAAUCAGUUAUGGUACAUUUGAUCAAAACCCCCAUUACUUGGAUAACCCUGGUAAUUCUAGAGCUAAUACGUGACCACGACUACUCCGACUGGAAGGGAGGAGUGCUUUUAUUAGAGUAAAACCAAUCGGGCCUCGGUCCGUCAAACACAUUGUGUGACGAUUCUGAAUAACUUUGUGCCGAGAGCACGGUCUCCGCACCGGCUCCGUAUCUUUCGAGUUUCUGCCUUAUCAUGCUGUGGAUUGUAGGUCAUGUGCCUACAGUGGCUGUUACGGGUGACGGAGAAUCAGGGUUCGAUUCCGGAGAGGGAGCCUGAGAAACGGCUACCACAUCCAAGGAAGGCAGCAGGCACGCAAAUUACCCAAUCCCAGCCCGGGGAGGUAGUGACGAAAAAUAACAAUGCGGGACUCUUCCGAGUCUGCGUAAUUGGAAUGAGAACACUUUAAAUCCUUUACCGACAACCAAUUGGAGGGCAAGUCUGGUGCCAGCAGCCGCGGUAAUUCCAGCUCCAAUAGCGUAUAUUAAAGUUGUUGCGGUUAAAAAGCUCGUAGUUCGAGCUCUGUUCCGGACUGGCCGGGGAGGUCACCGCCCGGUGCUUCCUCGUCAGGCUCCGAGCAGCUUUUUAGUAGAAGCCAAGCCGGUUCUUGCCGGGGUGCUCUUGACCGAGUGUCCCGCGCGGCCGGCCAGUUUACCUUGAACAAAGGAGAGUGCUUAAAGCAGGCUACUCUUAAAAAUAAAGCCCGAAUGUUACUUGCAUGGGAUGAUGGAAGAUGAUCUCGGCUCCAUUUUGUUGGUGGUGGGAGUCCGAGUUAAUGAUAAAUAGGGACUGUCGGGGGCAUCCGUACUACGACGCGAGAGGUGAAAUUCAGUGACCGUCGUAGGACGAACAACAGCGAAAGCAUUUGCCAAGAAUGUCUUCAUUGAUCAAGAACGAAAGUUAGAGGAUCGAAGGCGAUCAGAUACCGCCCUAGUUCUAACCCUAAACGAUGCUGACUAGCAAUCCGCCGUCGUUAUUCCCAUGACGUGGCGGGACGCCCCCGGGAAACCUCAAGUUUUUGAGUUCCGGGGGUAGUAUGGUUGCAAAACUGAAACUUAAAGGAAUUGACGGAAGGGCACCACCAGGAGUGGAGCCUGCGGCUUAAUUUGACUCAACACGGGAAACCUCACCAGGCCCGGACACCAGAAGGAUUGACAGAUUAAGAGCUCUUUCUCGAUUUGGUGGGUGGUGGUGCAUGGCCGUUCUUAGUUGGUGGAGUGAUUUGUCUGGUUAAUUC